rnacentral:tRNA from 1 species
GGAUGAUUAGCUCAGUCGGUUAGAGCAUGGUGCUGAUAACACCAAGGUCACGGGUUCGAUCCCUGUUCGAUCCC